GAUGAACGCUGGCGGCGUGCCUAAUACAUGCAAGUCGAGCGAACAGACGAGGAGCUUGCUCCUCUGACGUUAGCGGCGGACGGGUGAGUAACACGUGGAUAACCUACCUAUAAGACUGGGAUAACUUCGGGAAGCCGGAGCUAAUACCGGAUAAUAUAUUGAACCGCAUGGUUCAAUAGUGAAAGACGGUUUUGCUGUCACUUAUAGAUGGAUCCGCGCCGCAUUAGCUAGUUGGUAAGGUAACGGCUUACCAAGGCGACGAUGCGUAGCCGACCUGAGAGGGUGAUCGGCCACACUGGAACUGAGACACGGUCCAGACUCCUACGGGAGGCAGCAGUAGGGAAUCUUCCGCAAUGGGCGAAAGCCUGACGGAGCAACGCCGCGUGAGUGAUGAAGGUCUUCGGAUCGUAAAACUCUGUUAUUAGGGAAGAACAAAUGUGUAAGUAACUAUGCACGUCUUGACGGUACCUAAUCAGAAAGCUACGGCUAACUACGUG
rnacentral:rRNA from 1 species